GGGUCAGUAGGUUGGUCGUGCCACCGGUACGUACUGGUCUCACUGAUUCCUCCUUCCUGAAGAACCGUAAUGCCAUUAAUUUGGUGUUGCGGGGAAACAGGACUAUUACUUUGAAAAAAUUAGGGUGUUUAAAGCAAGCUAACGCUUGAAUACAUUAGCAUGGAAUAAUGAAAUAGGACGAUCGAUCCUAUUUUGUUGGUUUCUAGGAUUGACGUA
rnacentral:rRNA from 1 species